UGGGAAUGUAGCUCAAUCAGGCAGAGCAGUAGGCUCUUAACCGAAUGGUUGCAGGUUCAAUUCCUGUCAUUCCCAU
rnacentral:tRNA from 1 species